AGAGUUUGAUCCUGGCUCAGGAUGAACGCUAGCUACAGGCUUAACACAUGCAAGUCGAGGGGAAACGAUAUUGGAAGCUUGCUUCCGAUAGGCGUCGACCGGCGCACGGGUGAGUAACGCGUAUCCAACCUGCCCACCACUUGGGGAUAACCUUGCGAAAGUAAGACUAAUACCCAAUGAUAUCUCUAGAAGACAUCUGAAAGAGAUUAAAGAUUUAUCGGUGAUGGAUGGGGAUGCGUCUGAUUAGCUUGUUGGCGGGGUAACGGCCCACAAGGCGACGAUCAGUAGGGGUUCUGAGACGGAAGGUCCCCCANAUUGGAACUGAGACACGGUCCAAACUCCGUACGGGAGGCA
rnacentral:rRNA from 1 species